rnacentral:pre_miRNA from 1 species
UACAAUGUUUUUGACUAUUCGUCUUAUUUGAAUUUUUUUACGAUUAAUAUUUUUUUCUUACUAGAUGAUAAAACAUAAAUAGUACUUUAUGCGUGACUAAUUUUUUUAAGCUUUUACGUAAAUUUUUCAAAUAAGACGAAUGGUCAAACGUUGGACACGGAAAACGA